rnacentral:rRNA from 1 species
GUGCCAGCCGCCGCGGUAAUACCGGCGGCUCGAGUGGUGACCGCUAUUAUUGGGCUUAAAGCGUUCGUAGCUGGGUUGUUAAGUCUCUUGGGAAAUCUGACGGCUUAACCGUCAGGCGUCUAAGGGAUACUGGCAAUCUUGGGACCGGGAGAGGUGAGAGGUACUCCGGGGGUAGGAGUGAAAUCCUGUAAUCCUCGGGGGACCACCUGUGGCGAAGGCGCCUCACCAGAACGGCUCCGACAGUGAGGGACGAAAGCUGGGGGAGCAAACCGGAUUAGAUACCCGGGUAGUCC